GGGUGGAGGGGGUGGUGGCAUCGUGUGGAGGGUGGGCAUUAAGGGGUGGGCGUGGUUGUCUCGGUGUGGAGGGGAGGGUGGUGGCCAUCACUAUGAGUGUCACCAGGUGUGUCCCCAAGUCCAUCCUGGUGUCCAUCUCUGUCCCCAGAUUUUUCCCCAGGUCCAUCCUGGUGCCCAUCGCCAUCCCUGUCACCCAAGCUUGUCCCCAUCUUGUCUCCAAACUUGUCCCCAUCACCAUGUCCACCCCAGGAUGGUGACAAUCCCCAUCUUUGUCCCCAGGUUUGUCCCCAGAUCCACCCUGAUGUCCAUCCUCUUCUUUGUCCCCAUCUUUGUCCCCAGGUCCACCCUGAUGUUCAUCCCCAUCUUUGUCCCCAGAUUUGUCCCCAGGCCCACCCUGUCACCCACCCCAGGAUGGCGACAAUCCCCAUCUUUGUCCCCAGAUCCACCCUGAUGUCCAUCCCCAUCUUUGUCCCCAGAUUUGUCCCCAGAUCCACCCUGUCACCCCCCCCAGGUUGGUGACAAUCCCAUCUUUGUCCCCAGGUCCACCCUGAUGUCCAUCCCCAUCUUUGUCCCCAGAUUUGUCCCCAGAUCCACCCUGUCACCCACCCCAGGAUGGUGACAAUCCCCAUCUUUGUCCCCAGGUCCACCCUGAUGUCCAUCCCCAUCUUUGUCCCCAGGUUUGUCCCCAGGCCCCCCCUGUCACCCACCCCAGGUUGGUGACAAUCCCAUCUUUGUCCCCAGGUCCACCCUGAUGUCCAUCCCCAUCUUUGUCCCCAGGUUUGUCCCCAGGCCCCCCCUGUCACCCACCCCAGGUUGGUGACAAUCCCAUCUUUGUCCCCAGAUCCACCCUGUCACCCACCCCAGGUUGGUGACAAUCCCCCACCCCUGGUGCCCACCCUGUCCCUGAUGCCACCACCACGUCCCAGCUCCUCCCAGGUUCUCCAGGCCCCGGUGCCACCCCGGUGCCACCCCG